UAAACGGGGAAAGGGGGGGGGUUUUUCUCUUUGGAGGGAGUGCACGCCUGUUUGGAUUUCAUUUUCAUCCACCUGUGCACCUAUUGUAGUCUUUGGUUUGGUAUUGAGGAAGUGGUCAGCCUAUCAGCAUUUGCUGGAUGUGAGGAGUUUGCAGUGUGAAAACAUCGCUGUCCUUUACUUGGCCAUGGAGUCUUUUGCCUGCCGGAGUCUAUGUCAUUCAUUAUACCCUGUCGACUGUUAUCGAAUGUCUUUACAUGGGCUUUCAUGCCUAUGAAAAUUAUAAUACAACUUUCAGCAACGGAUCUCUUGGCUCUCGCAUCGAUGAAGAACGCAGCGAAAUGCGAUAAGUAAUGUGAAUUGCAGAAUUCAGUGAAUCAUCGAAUCUUUGAACGCAUCUUGCGCUCCUUGGUACUCCGAGGAGCAUGCCUGUUUGAGUGUCAUUAAAUUCUCAACUCUCUUAUACUUUGUUGUAAAGGAGGGCUUGGAUUGUGGAGGUUUGCUGGCAACUUGUUGGGGUCAGCUCCUCUGAAAUGCAUUAGCGGAACCGUUUGCGAUCUGCCACAAGUGUGAUAAACUAUCUACACUGGCGAGGGGAUUGCUCUCUGUGUUGUUCAGCUUCUAAUCGUCUCAGUUUUACGAGACAACUUUUUGAAUACUUGACCUCAAAUCAGGUAGGACUACCCGCUGAACUUAAGCAUAUCAAUAA
rnacentral:rRNA from 1 species